rnacentral:rRNA from 1 species
GGCUCAGGAUGAACGCUGGCGGCGUGCCUCAUGCAUGCAAGUCGAACGGGAACACUUUUAGUAGCAAUACUGAGGGUGUUCUAGUGGCGAUCGGGUGAGUAACACGUAGGUGACCUGCCCCGAAGAGGGGGAUAACGGUCCGAAAGGACUGCUAAUACCCCAUGUGGUUGAUGAUUCAUUUCGUCAAUUAAAGUUUCCGCAAGGAGUAUGCUUCGGGAGGGGCCUGCGGCGGAUUAGAUAGUUGGUGGGGUAAUGGCCUACCAAGUCGAUGAUCCGUAGCUAGUCUGAGAGGACGAUUAGCCACACUGGCACUGACACACGGGCCAGACUCCUACGGGAGGCAGCAGCAGGGAAUAUUGCACAAUGGGCGAAAGCCUGAUGCAGCAACGCCGCGUGAGGGAUGAAGGUCUUCGGAUUGUAAACCUCUUUUACAGGGGACGAGUAAGGACGGUACCCUGUGAAUAAGCAACGGCUAACUACGUGCCAGCAGCCGCGGUAAUACGUAGGUUGCGAGCGUUAUUCGGAUUUACUGGGCGUAAAGAGCACCGAGGUGGCUUCUUAAGUUGGAUGUAAAAUCUCCUGGCUUAACUGGGAGGCGCCAUUCAAAACUGAGGAGCUUGAGGUCAGCAGGGGAAGGUGGAAUUCCCGGUGUAGUGGUGGAAUGCGUAGAGAUCGGGAGGAACACCAGUGGCGAAAGCGACCUUCUGGGCUGCACCUGACACUCUAGUGCGAAAGCGUGGGGAGCAAACAGGAUUAGAUACCCUGGUAGUCCACGCCCUAAACGAUGGAUACUAGGUGUGGGAGGUAUUGACCCCUUCCGUGCCGAAGCCAACGCGUUAAGUAUCCCGCCUGGG